UCUCGACUUUGCUCCAAGCUCUC
rnacentral:siRNA from 1 species